rnacentral:sRNA from 1 species
CCAGCUUGCAAUUCCACCAACAAUAGAGGAGUGUUCCUGUUUCUCCAUAUUUUCGCAAGUGUCCAUUGUCAGAUAAAAGUUGACCUGAGCCAAACUGGGAUAUACUCCUUAUUAGAAGAUAAGGAGUAUGCAGCUACAGAUGGGAGCCAGGAAGGCUCAGCACAUUAAGGUAUCUAUCUACAAAGAGCAAAAAUGAGAUGAAGACAUCAGCUACCCAUGGACUCCGGCAACUUGCUGCACUGUACAAGAUCUGGCCACUGCAGAGAUGGCAGCAUAUGGUGAGAGCAUCAUUAUACAGCUAGAUAUACCGCCCAAUUAUGUACUAUUUGCCAAAGAGCUUAAAGAAAUCUAAAUUAACAAUCUAAUUUAUUAAGGGUAGAAAUCUCAUACAAAUUCACAUAAGAGGAAGAAAACUGUUUCUCAAAGAAAUACUUGGGAAAUGUUAUGUUAUAUUCAAAAUAGGAAUUGAAUACAUCCAUUGUGUUAUGUGAUGAGAAACAAGCAGACAAAAUUAUAUCCAAGAAGCAAGCGAAUUACAGCAGAAAGGAUUCAAUUAGCCAGCUGUUCAUCCUAAUAUACAAAUUAAGACUUAGUCACUGCAUGACACAAAUUAGAUCAUGUAUAAUUCUCAACAGAACAGUCAUUCUCAUUACCAUAGAUUCCUUUUUUCUUCCUUGUAACUUUAUUAUGUACUGAACAUUUAUAAAAAGUUCAUUUAGAGAAGCAGUAUUCAGCACCCAUUUCAAGACUCAGAAUAUAUACAUUUGAUGAUAAUGUAAAUGUAUUCUAGAAUAAAAUUAAUUUGAACAAUUAAAGAUAGCCAAUCUAUAUAGAUAAUUUGCCAGCUAAUGACCCCCUUUCUUUGCCUUCAGACAAAUUCUCCCUCAGGAUUAAUUUUUCAAAGUCCUUAUGCUUAUGUAAGUUCAUUGGCAUAAAGAGGCCUUUAUCACCUGACUCCACAUCAUCCAUUUAUACCCUGAAGAAAUUCACUUCAUUCCAUACAGCUUCUCUCCUAAUUAUCAGAUGGAUCUUCAAAUUAUUGUACUUGUUAAAUUUCAAUCAAUACUACGUUAAUUUUCAAUGUAAGGCAUCUAGAUCCCCAAACAAAUUCUCUUUGAACAAUACAGGAAAACAUUAGAAUUCAUUCAUUCUUUUUUCUUCCUAAUGGCACAAUCCCAGAACACAAUCCCCUGCAGUUUGCUUAUGUUUGAUUUAAGUACCUCUAGGAUGUGAUUGGCAAGCUUGAUGAACCAGCCUGCUUCCACCUUGGGCUUAAAAGCCGCCUUAUAGUAAAGACAAACUAGGUUCAUUCCUAUGAUUAUAUCACUUUCUCUCAAGGUUUCAGCUAUGCCCUGACUGUAACCUUAACUACAAAUGCCUAUGUACAACCUGUUCCAGGACAAAGCAACCCUGCCUAGGACAGGCCCCUGGUUCAGGUGGCAGAUCCAUCGGGAUCCGCUACUGGAGGAUUUAUAACUUAAGAGUGGUUACAAACUAGGAUGCUAGUUGCUGUGCCCAACGAGUGUGUUACCUGUUGAGUCUAAACUAAGAUUGUGUGGUGUUUUCCUUCAGCUGGGUUCCAGAGAAAAAGAAAGGUAUAGCAGCAAAAACGUGGGUUCGCGAGAAGUGCACCUCAGCUAGCCAUGGGAAUUUGGAAGCAUGGGGCUGUUGUGGCAGUCGACCACCACGGGAUCUUAGUGAGCUAGGUGGAGAGAUUUCAGAGCUCUGGUGUCAGAGAGUCUGCUGGGCUGGGAACAGGCCAGGCUGGCCUGUCCGCCAGUGCCUUGCCGGCUGUAGUGGGGGAUUCAUUUUUUUAAUAUUUCACACAACGGAUGACAUCCAAUGUGGCAGGCAACAAUCUACUAGAAAUUUAAGAUUCUUAGCCUGAAAGUUAGAGAUUUAGUUCUUGGUAAGCAGAGGGGAAAGGUAGUUUCUCAGCAAGAGGAGGAGUCAAAUGGCGGCUUAAGCAUGGGAGCCUUAAACAAAGAAACACAAACUCAGCUCACAGGCUCUGAGGUCCCCUGCUGUGAAAAGAGACAAGGUGAUUGCUCCAAGGCAGAAAGCCAGAGUGUAAAGGCUGUCUGCAAGGACUAAGCCACUACCUAAA